UUGGAUCAUUAAUCCAACGUUGGACUUAUAUGUGAAAUAUUAUGUGUUGCAAGACUGUCACGUAAGGUUAAGCCCGAUAAAGUGAUCGACUAAAGUUUAUCUAGAUUGGGCUUUAAUGUGUCUAAUAAGGUGUGGGCCUUUAAUGUGUAGAGACAUUUAGGGUAAUUUUAUUAUAGUGAUGGGCAUAGUAGUUAAACUCGCGAGAUACCGCGAUAUAUAUCGCGAGACGAUACGGUUCUAAUCAAAACGAUACAACUCAUAAUAUGUAUCGGUUAUGCAUAAAUACCAUUAAAUAUCGUGAGAUAUCGUAUGGUAUCGUCAUAUCACGAUACGAUACAAUAGGGGUGGUUUCGGUACGGUUGCCGAAUAUUUUGAUCAAUACCGUGUACCUACCGAAUUAUAUGGUAUUGAAAAAUUCGAUACCGUUACCGUACCAACAAGUGCGGUAUACCGUUAUUCGGUAUACCGUUACUUUCGGUACGGUAUAUCGGUACAUGGUAACUCUACCGUUAAUUUUAAUUUGUCACUUUGAAGACGAUCUUUAUAAAAACACAACACUUUAAAAAAGAAGAUUGGCUAUUUAUAUGAUCAUAUUCAAUUUUUUAAAGCUCCUUGAAUAUUUGUCAAACUUCAACUUCAAUGAUUUAGCCACACCUUGCAAAAUAAGAUUACUAGAGUCAUGAUUUUUUUUUCAAUCUCAAUUUGCAGCUGUACUAUUUCAGUGAAAACCAAAUGGGAUGUACGUUUUUUUUUGUUGCACUAAACUUCAAUGUUGUCUCAUAAAUUUUUAAGAACUGUAAUUCAAUUUUUAAGUUUUGAUCUAUUUAUUUUAUGUAGUAAUUUUAAUUUUAGUUAAUUACUAACCAAUAUAAAAUAAAUAUAUAUUAAUUAAAUUGUAAAUUUCAAAUUUGCGGUACGGUACAGUAUUACCAUGGUACUGAAAAUACAAUACCGCUACCGUACCGUAGGAUUGUGGUACGGUACCAAUACCGUACCAAAUGUAGUGGUUACCGAAGUUUCGGUAAAUUUUCGGUAUUGUUUGGUAGGUAUACCGUGGUAUUCGGUAGGCGGUAAUUAUUUUCCAGCCCUACGAUACAAUAUUAGUCAAAAUAUUAAAAAAAAAAUUAAAAAAUUAAAAAAUUAAAAAAAUUAAAAAAGUUAAAGAAAAAAAGAAGAAAACGAAAUAUUCACAUUAUCAGGGCUUGCAAACGAAUUUCAAUAUUAUUAAAUAUUUUUUUUUAACAUAUAUUAGAUUCAAGAAAUUUACACGCCAAGUUUUAUAUUGAUAAGAGAAAAUAGGAAAAGGCGAAAGUUGGAGUUGAUGAAAUUGAAGAGAUUGAUGAACAUGAGGAUGAAGACACUUGUUUGAAAUUGGUGGAUGAAAAAAAAUUAAAUUACAUUGAUCUUGAAGAUUAUGAGUGAUAAUUAGUUUUUUACAAAUUAGAGAUCAAAAUUUGAACUUUGUUGAUGUUAUUUUUACGAGCAGUUAUGACUUCUGUCCUAUUUUAUGAUAAAUUAUUUUUUUUAAAAUAGGAAUAAGUGGUUUGACUUUAAAAUAUUAAAUUUUACAUUUUUAUAGUAUUUUAUUAUAUAUAUAUAUAUAUAUAUAUAUAUAUAUAUAUAUAUAUAUAUUUUUAAUAGUUGGUUAAAUAUCGUACGAUACGAUAAGAUAUCGAUACGAUACGAUACACGCAGGAAAACGAUACGCCGAUAUUUUCCGAUUCGAUAACCAUGGUGAUGUGCUAAAAUAAAAUUACACAAGAUAGCCCAUUAGGUUAUCUAUAUAUAUUGCUCAUGGUCCCCGGAACUAAUUCCAUUCUCUAUGUAUUCCAUCGACAUAAAGAUAGAAGUCUAAAGGGUUCUCGGGUUCGGAUGUACAUGAUGAUCUGGAAGAUCUAUGAUCGUUUUAUAUCAAUUCCACCGGAGUAAGGUACGCUUCCAAUUUAUCAAUUCCACCGGAGUAAGGUACGCUUCCAAUUUAUGUUUAUGUACAAUAUUCUUGAUGAUUCGGCAUGACGGUUCUAUGGGAUUUAUUCAAGUUUAUUCCAACAAGUGGUAUCAGAGCCACCAUGUCUUGAAUUAUCGGGGAUAUUAUGUUCGUUAAAUUUCCCUAUUUCGAAGUUAUGCGAAAUAUGAUUUUGUGGAUUCAAUUCUGAAAAAUUAUGGUCCGAUUAUGAACUUGGAAUUGUACUGUUAUGUUAUGUGACAAUUUCUUAAUUUAUUAAAAUUCAUCCGGCCUGUUGUUUGUUAAUUGUUUAAUUAAUUUAAGAAUUGUGUUAUUUAAUUGCUGAAUUCCAAAUCGGGAGAUUGGUUUGUUUAUGUAAAUCUGAAUCUCGAUUUAAUUACGAUUCUAUAGGAAUCUUUUAACAGUUGUAUGAUUAAGUUCACCUUUUGGGUUGAUUAAUUUCAAAUUUGGGUUAAAUUAUUCGGUUAUUAAUCCAUUGGGCUGAUUUGGUUUUCCGGCCGAGCCAUCCUUCGACACCACCGCUGCAAUGAUUCUCACACCACCAUCUUCUUUCCGUUUCCGGCGGCCAAUAUAGCGAACGCAAGUGAUUGUCCUUCGCAAUUCUUGGCGGUGGGGAUUCGCUAAUAAGGGAUUUUUAGUGGCCAACGGAGAGAGACUGUGAGUUGUGUGUUUUCGGCGGUGGUGUUGCUUAGGUUGCAGUCAUGGUGGUGGCGGCGGGUCUGAAAGAAAAUUAGGUUUAUGAAGUUUCGGAAAAUUACAAUUUAACCCCAGAUUUAAGGUUUCUGUAAUUCCCAAUUUGGUCCCUUAAUUUAAGUUUGAGAUAUUUAGCAAUAUUUCAAUUCAGCCCAUAUUUCGGUUAUUCCUGAUUUUGAGCCUGGGUCGAUUUUAAAUAAUGUAAAAUCUGUAUUACAGCCCUCAAAGCUUUCGAAAAGUGCACUUCAGUCCCCAGCUUUAAAGUUUCUCUCAAAACUGUGAUAAAUAUUCAGAAAAUAUAUUUUUUUAACCGCCAAAUUAAGUAUUUCUGAAUCUUAGAUCCCUUUUCACUCAAAGGCUUUUCUUUCAAAAUUACAAUUCAGUCCUUUAAGUUGAAAGAUUUUCUUGUUUUGGGGCAAGGGCAAUUUUUUAAGGAAUAAAAAGUUAAUUUAAAGUUUUUUUUUUUGGGCCACUUGAAAUUCAUGUUUUAUGAAGAAUCAAACGAAUAAGUGAAUUAUUUUUAAUUCUCUUUAAGAACUUGUUUGGUCAAUAAAGUGAGAUUCAGUUUGAAUUUCAAUUUUAAUUUCCUGAGGCAUUUUAUUUUGGGGAAUUUCAGAUUUCUAAAGUUCGGGUCUUCUUGGAUUGAAAUUUGGAUUAAUUAGUCAAAUUAUGGAUAUGAAUUAUUAUAAUUCAAUAGGUUUUGACUCAUUAAAGUAAUGGUUGUUUGUCAAUAUAUGUAUGAGUUAUCAUGUAUAACUCAAUAAGCUUUGACCCAAUCGAUAUUUGGCACGUAGACUCGUGACUUUAUUAUAAAUUUGAGUCUUCAUUGUUUUGUGAAAAUUCAUAAGAAUUUGGAUUUAUUUGUCCGAAAUUUAUUGUUGGCUUUAAAUCUUAUAAGGUUGAAUUUGUGAGCUCAUUUUUUGUACUUUAAGCUCAAAUUCAAAUAAAUAUGAAUUUUAUGAUUUAUGGUUUAGGCUCAUCUUUGGGUUAUAAAGUGAAGAUUUCUAGUCGACUUUAUUUUGACUUUAAAUCUAAAUAACGUGGGAUUUGGGUUCAUAAGGUAAUUUAAUUAGGCCUAUGACUAAAGAUUUUUUGAGAAAGUCUAUUGGCUUAAAUUCAGUUAAAAUUCAAAUAUUGGUUUGAUUUAUGUAUUUUGAUAUGAAUUAAGAGAAGCAGCAUCUCGCCUAAGUGAGCUCUCCUGUGAAACUUAAUUUAUUUUAAAAUACAAAAGGUUUUGUGCAUGUAAUAAUGUGGGUAUUGUGUCGGCCCUAAGGAAGGCCAAUACUUUGCUGAAUUGCAUGUGCAUAUUGUGGUGGUAAACGCGUGGCGAUUAUUUGGUGUUUUGCAUGUGAAUAAUAGUUUGGCCCUAAGGUAGAAUUAUUAUUUGAUGUGCUCUUACUGUCAGUGUUUGAUUACUACACCAAGAUAUCACUUACAAGUUAAUAUCAUUGUCCAAAGAUAAGUUAUUAAUGGAGUGCCCGAUAUCUUGAGAUGGAAUAUACCUUUAUUUGAAUUUGUGGUUGAUAUAUAAUAAAUAUGUGACGGUUAUUAGAAUUUCAUGUGAACUGUAAAUUGGCCCUAAGGUAGAUUUAUUGUUUGACACGAUAGUUUACCGUCAAUAUUUAUUUAUAAAAAGUUCCCGCUUAAAAGUUAACGAGUCGUCCAUAACGUCAAAUUAACAUUGGGCUAGGUAUUUUAUGAUAAAUGAACCCAAUUCCGUUUAAUUAUGUCAUACAUACAUAGAUUCUAUUUGAUAUUUUUAUGACAUAAUAGUAGUUGUGAGCAUGUCUUCUUGUUUAUGUUCUCUAUUUAGUUCAUGCUUCCGCUUCUGCAUUAUCUGUCAAUGUUAAUUUUGGUUCUUGUGCUUUAUAGCACAAUUUACUUAUUAUUUACGGUGCAUAGAUCUUGAUUUUAUCUUUUAAAUAGAACGACCAACUAGUUUUUUUCGGAAUUAAAAGUUUCCUUAAGGUUAAAAUAAAAGGGACUUAAAGAAUAUGAUCGUUCUAAUUAUAAGUAUUAAGAUCAUUUGGUGCAUCAUUUAAGAAAUCUUUAGGGGCAUCAAGAUUGAUAGGGCAAGUACUAGAAUGUUUCUCAAGGCACUUUUGAUACGUUUUAUUAUUAAAAUGACAAGCUUGAAUCAAGUAUAGUUGUGACUAAUCUUGAUUUAUAAUUAAUAAGAGAGAAGAAACAUAAAGGAGUACAUUAAGUAUUAGUCUAAUCUCAUUUUCGGCUUAAGCACUAAAGUUACGGUUAUUUAUUAACUUUAAAGUGCAUAUGGUUUGAUUUUUCUUUCUACAUCUAUAGUCAACAUAAAGUUUGUUCCAAAACCUAAAGGAUAAAUGAAUUCUUUGUCAGCCCAUGUUUGACUAUGUGUAGGAAUAAAAUGACAUAAACGAGAAAAGACUAAAAGUACGCAGUUAACUACUAUCCCAUAGAAUGACACAUUGUUGCAGUAGAGACAUCAUAAUAGAUUUUCUAAAAGUAACAAAAUCAUGUCCGCUUUAUCUGUUAUUUAAAGAUAUGAGUCUCCAAAGUAUGUCAAAUGACAAGUAAGGUUUUGCUUCUAAUCUUAAGAGAAGCACUAAAGACUGCAACAUAUGACUUUAAAGACGGGAUGUAUAAGAUCUCUUAAGGAUAUUUAGUUUAAGGGGGGAAGGGUUAUACUCAUUGUUGUAUGAAAGAGAGAAUUUAUUUUUCUCAUUUUGUUGCUAUAGACAAUAAUAAAAAUACUGUCUUCUCCCACAUGAAGGAAAUUGCUCCUUAAAGAUAAACUCAACAACCUUAAGAGAAUACAAUAUUAAAUUGAGUUAAACUGAAGAUGAUAAUGACAUUUGGGAUCUUAUCAACUGUCAAAAGUGUGUAAUCAUUUGGUCACAAAUGUAUAUUUGAGACCGUUUGAAUUUCAAUAGGCUAUGUUGAAAAAGUUAUAACUAAAGUCUAAUCACCUAGAGUUUCACUCAAUACGAACUCUGUUUUAGAGUUUUAGGAUCCCCUAAACGGUGUUACAACUCAUAAUGAUUAUCUCAUAUUUGUGAGGUAAAUAAAGUUAAUGUUUGUAUAUACCAUGUGAUACGCACUCAAUGCCCAAUAAAGAUCUUACGGUAAAAGAAGAAUGCAAAAGGUUCCCUUGCUGUCAGCUUUGGGAAAUUAUACGCACACUUCGGUAUGUACGCAUUCGGCUAAAUCGUACAUAAAGUUACGCAGAUAUAUAAAUAAUCCUUUGAAGUGGAUCUUUGAAUAGAAACAAAAGGAUUAUACAGUAAUUAUAGAGAACAUAAGGUCAUUUAUGCUCAUUUAUCGAAAUCAGUUCAUUUGGGAGAUCAUUUGGUUUUUUGAUUUCGAGUUUGUAUGAUGCUUGUACAUUAUAGAUCCAUUUAAUGUAUACCUAAUUAAAAGAGAAUUUAAGUACGAGUGUUUAGCCAACACCCAAAACUCUUUUAACUACAGUAAUCAGUUUAUAAAAGCAUCUUAUUUUGUAAUAUACAGAGUGGAUAGGUGUCUAUAAAAUACGUCGAUAUAAACUCCAUUAUGUGUACACACUAAGGAUGUCACCCAAAAGGUCUCAUGUGCAUAUUGCUCGUAUGGGUGUCAUAUUAUUUAAGGAUAUUCGGUUUUAGUGGGAGUUUAUAAUAAAUGUGUUAUUUUGGCGUAGACACAAUUUUUGGGUUAUUUCGGAUUAAGGAUACUCUUAAGAUAAUUUUUGCAGAAAUAAGGUUUUGGUUUAUUCACACUCUGAUUUGUUAAGGUUUGAUCUCAUUAAGGAGGACCAUUUGGAAAUAGGUAUGUUAAGGUCACAUUGCAUGACAUUUCCAUGUUACACAUCCAUAUCAUAAUCUAUGUCAUUCGAUUGUGUUGAUACUGUGACCAUUGUUGGGUCCCGUUACGACUAAUGUGAACGAAGGCCCCUUUGAUUCAGUGUUAGCAUGAUUGAUGGACGAGAUUGGUUAUAGACACACUUCAGUAAUGACAGCAAAGUUGAGCUCAAAAAUUUAUUUAUGCAACCUAUAAUUAUAAAGUUACACAUAUAGUCCAAGUGGGAGAUUGUUGGAUCAUUAAUCCAACGUUGGACUUAUAUGUGAAAUAUUAUGUGUUGCAAGACUGUCACGUAAGGUUAAGCCCGUUAAAGUGAUCGACUAAGGUUUAUCUAGAUUGGGGUUUAAUGUGUCUAAUAGGGUGUGGGCCUUUAAUGUGUAGAGACAUUUAGGGUAAUUUUAUUAUAGUGAUGGGCUAAAAUAAAAUUACACAAGAUAGCCC
rnacentral:lncRNA from 1 species